rnacentral:sRNA from 1 species
GCUGGGUGCAGUGGCACAUGCCUAUAGUCCCAGCUACUUAAGAGACUGAGGCAAGAGGAUCUCUUGAGUCCAGGAGUUCAAGGCCAACCUGAACAACAUAAGAAGACCCUGUCUCAA